CCAGCUUGCUGGGUGGAUUAGUGGCGAACGGGUGAGUAACACGUGAGUAACCUACCCUUGACUCUGGGAUAAGCCUGGGAAACUGGGUCUAAUACCGGAUAGGAACGUCCACCGCAUGGUGGUUGUUGGAAAGAUUUAUCGGUCAUGGAUGGACUCGCGGCCUAUCAGCUUGUUGGUGAGGUAAUGGCUCACCAAGGCGACGACGGGUAGCCGGCCUGAGAGGGUGACCGGCCACACUGGGACUGAGACACGGCCCAGACUCCUACGGGAGGCAGCAGUGGGGAAUAUUGCACAAUGGGCGAAAGCCUGAUGCAGCGACGCCGCGUGAGGGAUGACGGCCUUCGGGUUGUAAACCUCUUUCAGUAGGGAAGAAGCGAAAGUGACGGUACCUGCAGAAGAAGCACCGGCUAACUACGUGCCAGCAGCCGCGGUAAUACGUAGGGUGCGAGCGUUAUCCGGAAUUAUUGGGCGUAAAGAGCUCGUAGGCGGUUUGUCGCGUCUGUCGUGAAAGUCCGGGGCUUAACCCCGGAUCUGCGGUGGGUACGGGCAGACUAGAGUGCAGUAGGGGAGACUGGAAUUCCUGGUGUAGCGGUGGAAUGCGCAGAUAUCAGGAGGAACACCGAUGGCGAAGGCAGGUCUCUGGGCUGUAACUGACGCUGAGGAGCGAAAGCAUGGGGAGCGAACAGGAUUAGAUACCCUGGUAGUCCAUGCCGUAAACGUUGGGCACUAG
rnacentral:rRNA from 1 species